CGGGUUCGCAAACAAGAAUCUCGAAUGGUCAACAAUAAUCCAUCGCUCAAAGUAAACAAUUAUCUAUUUUAACAUAACAACUAAUUUCAACAGUAAAAACAAAUAACAAAACAUUGUCCAAUUUGCUUCAGAAGUGUACGAUUGGCCUACGGUUCAGAAUUUUGAACUGAACUUGACAUUCACUAAACAUGCAUGCUGAAAUUGACAUGGUUGAUUUUGUUACACGUGUACAUUUUUAUGUUUAAAAUUGGUGAUUGUCGUC
rnacentral:lncRNA from 1 species